rnacentral:rRNA from 1 species
AGCAGCCGCGGUAAUUCCAGCUCCAAUAGCGUAUAUUAAAGUUGUUGCAGUUAAAAAGCUCGUAGUUGAAUUUCGGGAUUAGUACGUUGGUCGUGCCUUCGGUAUGUACUGAUGUUACUGAUUCCUCCCUUCUGAAGAACCGUUAUGUCAUUCAUUUGGUGUGGCGGGGAAUCAGGACUGUUACUUUGAAAAAAUUAGAGUGUUUAAAGCAGGCUCACGCUUGAAUACAUUAGCAUGGAAUAAUGAAAUAGGACGUUUGAUGCCUAUUUUGUUGGUUUCUAGGAUCGACGUAAUGAUUAAUAGGGAUAGUUGGGGGCAUUAGUAUUCAAUUGUCAGAGGUGAAAUUCUUGGAUUUAUUGAAGACUAACUACUGCGAAAGCAUUUGCCAAGGAUGUUUUCAUUAAUCAAGAACGAAAGUUAGGGGAUCGAAGACGAUCAGAUACCGUCGUAGUCUUAACCAUAAACUAUGCCGACUAGGGAUCGGAUGAUGUUAUUUUUAAUGACUCAUUCGGCGCCUUAA